rnacentral:lncRNA from 1 species
GGGCUAUUCAUCUAUGUAGAGACCCUCAACUCAAUGACGGCGGAUGCUUUUAUCAAUGCCUACCGCCGAUUCACCUGCCGAAGAGGAAAGGUUCGAGCUCUGUAUCACGACCGAGGUACGAACUUCAUCGGAGGAAGAGGACAUCUAGAAGCUGCUUUGUCUGAGAUGGACCACGACAACAUCCGACGCACUCUGUUAAAGGACAACUGUGAUUGGGCACAGUUCAACCCCAUCACACCCAAGGCCAGCCACAUGGGAGGUGCGUGGGAGCGGCAGAUACGCACCGUCCGCUCUGCGCUGAGCAGUCUCCUUCAAGAUCUCGGUCAGCAGCUGGAUGACGAGCUGCUCAGAACUCUACUGACGGAAGCGGAAGCAGUAGUCAAUAGUCGCCCUCUCUCUUGUGUCAGUAUGAAUGACACUAGUGUAGUUGAGCCGAUCACUCCCGAUCAGCUGCUUACCUUAAAGUCAAAGGUAGUGCUCCCUCUCCCUGGGAAGUUCUGCCGGCCCGACAUCUACGGGAGACAGCGCUGGCGCCGGGUCCAGUACCUCGCCAAUCAGUUUUGGCAGCGCUGGCGGAGAGAGUUCCUUCCGUCUCUCCAGGAGCGACGAAAGUGGCAUCAUCCAGAGCCGAACAUCAGUCAGGACGACAUCGUCAUUGUCGUCGACGAGGACACUCCACGCAACAGGUGGCCGCUCGCACGAGUGGUCGACGCGCACACAGGUGCCGACGGUCUAGUGAGGAGUGUGCGUGUGCGCAUUGGCAACAGUGAAUAUGACAGACCCGUCCACAAACUGAUUCUCCUCGUGAAGAGCGGGGAUGGAGAUUCCGCGACGGGGAGCCGUUGUGCUGAGUAGCGUGAUUUGGUCGGAGCGCGACCGAUAAGACCGAGACGCUUGCGAGCGAUGAUACCCGGUCUGAACUUUGGUGCAUUGUGCUCCGCUGUGCGGAUGGCAGUACGACGGCGCCCGUGUUUCAUAUUGCUAUGUCAGAAGUGAUAUUUCGUUACUUUCUCGCUCGACGUGUACGGCGUUACGUGGGCUCGCCUGUGUCUACUGACGAACAUUCGGUUGUUCGCGCGUCCCGUCGCAAUGUGACGUUGCCGCGCGACGGCGGCCCAUAGCCGCCUCAGUGCGUAAGGAAAAUUAGGAGAGCUGUGCCUAAUUUUGGGGAGCCAUGUUCCCGCCGUUACGGGUUGUUUAGGUUUUGUUAUGCAAGAGCCUGAGUGAGGGCUGCUUUGUCUAAACGACUGCAUUUGCUAUUUUCAGGUGACCGCCCCAGACGAUUUGUCAUGAUAUGUGACGCAUGUUGAACGGCAUCAGAGCUGUCCUGAUCGGGGCGCAGUGAAGUACGGAUCGCUGAACAGUGAUUGCCACUUGGACCGAUACUGAAGCCGAAAUAUUAUUGCUGGCUAUACUGACGGUGCAGUUGGCUGUAUCACCAUACUGAGUCACUGACAUUUGUACUAAAGUCGCCUAUCGUCCCGGACGAAUUUUCUACGGUCAUCACGGUCCACACUGAUCGCUGCAAGGUGUCACUACUGAAUGAUCCCAAUACAUACUGACCGACUAA